rnacentral:rRNA from 1 species
AACUCCUACGGGAGGCAGCAGUGGGGAAUAUUGCGCAAUGGACGAAAGUCUGACGCAGCGACGCCGCGUGUGGGAUGACGGUCUUCGGAUUGUAAACCACUGUCGGGAGGGACGAAUACG